UUACGGCCACAUCAAGUUGAAAUAUCGAUUCCGUACGAUCACUGAAGUUAAGCAACUUUGAGCCUGGUUACUAAAUAGAUGAGUGAACGCUUGGGAAUACCAGGUGCUGUA